rnacentral:rRNA from 1 species
GACGAACGCUGGCGGCGUGCCUAAUACAUGCAAGUCGAACGAACCGCGACUAGGUGCUUGCACUUGGUCAAGGUGAGUGGCGAACGGGUGAGUAACACGUGGGUAACCUACCUCAUAGUGGGGGAUAACAGUCGGAAACGACUGCUAAUACCGCAUAGGACAUGGGAUCACAUGAUUCUGUGAGGAAAGGUGGCGCAAGCUAUCGCUAAGAGAUGGACCCGCGGUGCAUUAGCUAGUUGGUAGGGUAACGGCCUACCAAGGCGAUGAUGCAUAGCCGACCGGAGAGGGUGAUCGGCCACAUUGGGACUGAGACACGGCCCAAACUCCUACGGGAGGCAGCAGUAGGGAAUCUUCCGCAAUGGACGCAAGUCUGACGGAGCAACGCCGCGUGAGUGAAGAAGGUCUUCGGAUCGUAAAGCUCUGUUGUUAGAGAAGAACAGCGCAUAGAGUAACUGUUAUGCGUGUGACGGUAUCUAACCAGAAAGCCAUGGCUAACUACGUG